rnacentral:rRNA from 1 species
GAUGAACGCUGGCGGCGUGCUUAACACAUGCAAGUCGAACGAACAUGCGCAGCUUGUUGGGUGGAGUAGUGGCGAACGGGUGAGUAACACGUGAGUAACCUGCCCUUGUCUCUGGGAUAAGUCACGGAAACUGGGUCUAGUACCUGAUACGACCAUCUGGCGCAUGUCAUGGUGGUGGGAAGCUUUUGUGGUUUUGGAUGGUCUUGCGGCCUAUCAGCUUGUUGGUGGGGUAAUGGACUACCAAGGCGACGGCGGGUAGCCGGCCUGAGAGGGUGACCGGGCACACUGCGACUAAGGGACGCACCAGUAGGCUACGGGCGGCAGCAGUGGGGAAUAUUGCGCAAUGGGGGCAAGCCUGAUGCAGAGACGCCGCGAGAGGGAUGACGGCCUUUGGGUUGUAAACAACUUUGUGUAGAGAAGAAGCGAACGUGACGGUACCUGCAGAAGAAGCGCCGGCUAACUACGUG